UACGGGGGGGGCAAGCGUUGUUCGGAUUUACUGGGCGUAAAGGGCGCGUAGGCGGCCACUUCAAUUCAGUUGUGAAAUCUCCGGGCUUAACCCGGAAAGGUCAACUGAUACUGCAGGGCUAGAGUGCAGAAGGGGCAACUGGAAUUCUCGGUGUAGCGGUGAAAUGCGUAGAUAUCGAGAGGAACACCUGCGGCGAAGGCGGGUUGCUGGGCUGACACUGACGCUGAGGCGCGAAAGCCAGGGGAGCGAACGGG
rnacentral:rRNA from 1 species